AACUGAAUGCUUAGGCACUGAGCAUGCAAAGGUAAGAGAGGUCUCGUCCUGCCCAUGUGAGCUUUCAGCCCAGUGGAGGAAACUGACAGUGACAGGAUCAUAGAGGAAGUGUGGUGGUGGAAUGGCGUCAGGGAUGCUCAGAGAGCACAGAGCAGUGGCUGUCUCUCUUCAGCCAAGACUUCAGAAAGGAACUUGCUCUCCAGGGCAUUGAGGAGGAGGAACAAGAGGAAGAUGCAGCCAGGUGAGGGGCUUAAGCAGCAGGUAGAAAGGUACAGGUGUGGGAGCUCAAGGCACAUUUGAGGGUUCUGGUAGGUAGUGACUGGUUCAGAUGGACCCUUUAUUUCACAUGAAGGAAUUUAGGCUUAAUCCCAAAGAUAUUAAGGAUCCAUUGAAGGGGUUCAGCAGAAAGACCUGAUGAAAAUAAUAGGUCAUGGAGGUCACUCUGGCAGAAGAGUGGGAUUUCAGUUGGUUAGGGGAAGGAGACAAGAGUGGGGUAGUAGUGUAUUAGUCUGUUCUCAUGCUGCUGAGAAAGACAUACCUGAGACUGGGAAAUUUAUAAAGGAAAAGAGGUUUAAUGGACUCAGUUCCACAUGACUGGGGAGGCCUCACAAUCAUGGCAGAAGGCAAAAGGCACGUCUUACAUGGUGGCAGACAAGAGAAAAUGAGAGCUAAGAGAAAGGGGUUUCCCCUUAUAAAACCGUCAGAUCUCAUGAGACUUAUUCACUACCACGAGAACAGUAUAGGGGAAACCAUCCCCAUGAUUCAAUUAUCUCCCACCAGAUCCCUCUCAAAACAUGUGGGAAUUAAGGGAGCUACAAUUCAAGAUGAGAUUUGGGUGGGGACACAGCCAAACCAUAUCAGGGAGGUAGUCAGGGAACCAGUGAGGAGGCUGCUGCAGUCAUCUAAAUGACCAUUAACCAGCACUUGAACUAGGUCAAUGGCCAUGAUUAAAUGGAGGUGGGGACACAAUUAAAAGAGUCAGGAGGUAGAAUCUUCAAGGGCUAGUAACACAUCAUUGAGGAACCUGGUUGUUCAUCUAUCCUAUGGAUAUUUUUCAAGCCACUGAACAAUGCCAUUAAAUCAUUGUCUAUGACCUGUUUUUCCGCUAGCCUGAAAGCUUCUGGGGUGAGGGGGACAAUGUCUAUACUUUUAUUGUCCACCAUUAUAUCUCUAGGCUUUAGUAUAGGGCCUGGCACAUAAGAAUAAAAAUGCAUCCCCUUAGGUGAACAUUUUAUGGGUGUUGUGAGUCAUUUCUCUUUUCAGAUAUUAAGCUUGUCAAACCUUGACAAUUCCAAUUCUUACCCAAGGCAUCCAGGUUAGAAGUGGUAGGAAAAAGGGCCCAUAACUUGGAGUUGGGAGAUGAACAUGAGUCCCUGUUCUUCUCCUGUGAUCUGUGUGAGUUGAAUAAGUCACUUAACCUCUCAAGCCUUAGUUGUCACAUUUGUAAAAUGAAGACGAUAUUAGUAUUGGACCUCAUGGAUUAUAGUAAGGACUAAAAGAGGUGAGGCAAUAUUAGUAUUGGACCUCACGGAUUAUAGUAAGGACUAAAAGAGGUUAUCAGUGGCAAGAAGUUAGCAGUGUCCGACACAAAGUAAACACUCAGUAAACUAGAAGGACAGAAGGAUGGAUGGAUGGAUGGAUGGAUGGAUGGAUGGAUGGAUGGAUGGAUGGAUGGAUGGACAGAUAAAUAGAUGGGUAGAUGGAUGAAUGAAACAAUGGAUGGAUGGAUGGAUGGAUGGAUGGAUGGAUGGAUGGAUAAAUAGAUGGGUAGAUGGAUGAAUGGAACAAUGGAUGGAUGGAUGGAUGGAUGGAUGGAUGGAUGGAUGGAUGGAUGGAUGGAUGGAUAGAUGGAUGGAUGGACAGAUAAAUAGAUGGGUAGAUGGAUGAAUGGAUGGAUGGAUGGAUGGAUGGAUGGAUUGAUAUAUUAAUGAUGGAUGGAUGCACUGAUAGAUGGAUACAUGGACAAAUGAAAGGAACAUGCUGAAAAGGAUAUGAAGUCAUGGUCCUUUUCAGACCAACUUUAUUCCCAUUUUGGGGGCUACUACGUAAUAAAUUGAUUAGUGCUAAAAAUUAAAAAGCCAUCUGGUCUUGGUUUCUGUGAAAGUCUUAUGGCCUGCUGCCAUUGAAUGCUGAAGAUUUAAAGUUCCUAUUUUAGGUUCUGUCUAGACACCUCUCUAAAUAGGAACUUUAUGUUAAUCUGCAGGU
ensembl:lncRNA